CACGCCGGGGAGUAAACUGUGGCCCCAUAACGACUUGGAGGACUAGGCGGUGAGAUCAUUUUCUGGGAUUGGGUAUUUUCCCAGGCUGCAACCAAAGAUCAGAGUGUAAAGCUCUCUGCUCCAGUGCCAUGCUGGCCAGUGUGCUGUGCUUUCACUGUGAUGACAAUGGACUGACUCUGUGGAAUGUGCGUAGCUCCCUGAGCUGCCCUCCCUGUGAGGGUGAGGCCCAUCGUGGACUAUGGUGUAAUGUGGCUCCUGCCUGAAGCGACUUUUAGAAGAAGCUUUGUAUCCUAUGUGUUGCUCCAUCUCUUCUCAAAUUCCUGGUGCAAGCACCAUUGAAACCAGUCAGAACACCCUGCUGUCCUGGAACUUUCUCUGUAGACCCACUGGCCUCAAAUUAAGAGAUCUGAACUGCUGGGAUUAAAGGGCCUGCUCCAUUUGGGUCCAGUUGGGUCAAACACUACCACAUGUACAGGAAAACAGCCAAGAAAUUCAAUAUGAUUCCAUUUGAACACAGAUCUGGUGGGAACCUGGCUAUCUUAAAUUUUAAACUGUGCAGGAAGAUGUGGCAGCUUUAAGGGUCCAUGGAUGAAUCAAACAGCUCCUGCAGUGAUUCCAACAUGUCAUUCGCGGAAUCUUCAGAUGUCUAUGAUGAAAAUAACACCUGUGAGGAAACUGUCUCUAUAGGGUAUUGAAAGCUGAGAUUGGGAAUCUCCAUCUGGUAUCCUGGGAUAUUAAUUAUGAUAUGUUGGCCUGAUUCAAGAAGCGUUAGUAAUGUUUUGGGGAUGUCAUGUAUGCAAUCUUGUCCUCUAAGAAGAAGCUUCUGCUCUUUUUCUGGGAUAGGGCUCUGUGAUGUAACUGUGUGUCCAAAACCUUGGUAUAGGCCCACUGUGGAGGGUGGCUUUGAAGAGCCAGAAGAUGUUUCUUGGGAAGAGGAGGAAAGGGGGCUUGAAUGUUCUUUAUGAUGCUGGUUUGGAUAACCUCGCAUUGUCCUCCCUUUAAGACAAUGGAAACUUAUUAACCAAAAGUUAUUUUUACCAUUUAAACACAUGAUUCUAAAAAUAGCUCCCCCUACCCCCUAUCUCCUUGAAUUUGAAGAGCCUACAUCAUGGAACUGCUAUAAUAUGGUCUUAUUUUUAAAUAACUAUUGAAUUGUCAUGGCAGGAGAAAUAUAAUAACCCACAUAUUGGGGCUGAGGAGACAUUUGUAAAUUGCUGGCCACACAAACACAAAGCAACUGAGUUUAAUCCUACUGACAGAUAACAAGCAGGGCAUGGUUUUGUGUGUUGCUCACAGUAAGAGAAGGAGGGUCUCUGGGGCUCUCUGGCCAAGCAUCCUAGCUGAGAUCUGUGAGCUCCAGGAGAGUGAGACUCUGUUCCAAAACCCAAAUCUGAACAGCUCCUGAGAAACCACUCCUGAGGUUCAUCUCAAGUCCCCACAUGCACACACACACACACACACACACACACACACACACACACACACACACACACUCAGCCUGUUACUUACCAACAAGACUAACUUGGUCUGAAAUGUCAUCUCUCACAUCAGAAACAUCCCACAUUGCGAGGAAGGAGUCAAAGCAGGAGCCUUUCUCUGCUUCAUGGGCAUAGGAUUUAUAGGGGAAAGUAUAGGGAUAGGCAAUUGCGGCCAAAAACAUCUCAAUGCAUAUGAUGAAAUCUUACAAAAAUCAACAAAAACAUCAGUCAUCUUUUUGGCUAAAUUUAGUUUUCCAAACUAAUAACUUUUUAAAAGUUAUUUAGGGUGUCAAAUUUUUUUUUAAGUUUCAGACUUAAAAAUUCAUUUUUAAAACUUUUUUCCAUAUCAAAACAUGAUAAGCCAAGAUUUACAUUUCUUUUUGCAGCCCUCAGUCAAGUAUUUCUCAAUGCUACCCAAGGACUGAAAGAUACCAUGCAGAUAUAAGUGGACAAAGAAUAAAAUAAUUAAUAGUCAGUAUCUAUAGCUCACUUCUCCAGUGUUCCUGCACUACAGAAUUGGCCAACAGUCUCGCCCCACUGUUUUCAGGUUGUUCAGGGGCAAUACUGCAUCAAAUGGCUCAACAAACAAUACAAUUCCCCGAGUUCAGAGAUGGCUCUACAUACCUGCAGGCCCGUGGACACAGAUUCUGCACUUUGCCAUUACCAGGUCUGCUUUUCUGAAAUAACUCCCACUUUAACCAACAUGCCUCGGUCCCCCGAGGGCAGGAAUUAAAGGCAUGCACCACCACUGCCCAGAUCAUGCAGUUUAUAAGUCAACACUAAAUAAAUACAGUUUCAAUAUAAUUCUGACCAUCAGAUCUGACUCUAAAUAACAUUUCCUUGAGAGGAGUACAUUAGUCCACUUUACCCAAACACCUAUACUAUUGCUGUGGCUCAGAGGCAGAGUGCCCACCCAACAUGCAGGAGGCCCUAGAUUCUAGUUAUCAUACUGCUGAAAGAAAAGUCAUCAGGACUCCAAGCAUGAAGCCAUUUCAUAGUACCUAUGAACUGCUACCCUCAUUCUGGGAUCAAACCCAGAGCUGUGUAUGCUAGGCAAACACUCCACCCGAGGAGUUCCAUAAGUCCUCAACUAAUUUCCAGUAUCUGUCAUGAAUUGGAAUCAAAGUCUGUUGCCCAAUCUUUUUGACCUGAAAGUAGCUGACUUCUGUGUAUGUUUCCUAGGGUUUCCUUUUAGUAACUGUCUAAAUGUUAAUGGGAAGACAAAACUAUGUUCACCUAGUUCAGAAUGUUUGCUAUAAAGUCCUUUACAUCCAAAGCAAAAGUACUUCCAUUUCUUUAGAAUACAUUGCCAGGAAAGGGUCUAUGGUCAUGAAGAUGACCAUGAGGAAGGAAGGCCCUGGAGACAUGUCCCACUCAUCUCCACUAUAAACUUCUAUUUUUGGUUUUUGAGACAGGGUUUCCCUGUGUAGCUCUGGCUGUCCUGGAACUCACACUGUAGACCAGGCUGGCCUUGAACUCAGAAAUCAGCCUGCCUCUGCCUCCCAGAGUGCUGGGACCAAAGGUGUGUGUCACCACAGCCCAUCAAAUUUUUCCAUUUAUAGUUUUUUUGAUUUUUGGUUUUUUCGAGACAGGGUUUCUCUGUAUAGCCCUGGCUGUCCUGGAACUCACUUUGUAGACCAGGCUGGCCUUGAACUCAGAAAUCAGCCUGCCUCUGCCUCCCAGAGUGCUGGGAUUACAAGCUUGCACCACCACUGCCUGGCAAAUUUUUCCAUUUUUCUUUAAACUCUGUCCUAUAAUAUACCAAUUAGACUUUUUCCUCUUACUGAAUAGGUCUCUAUUGGGUUUCUUUUGAAGGCAUAUAUACCUUGUAUAAAGGUACAUAUUAUAGCUUCCUCAGAUUUUAUGUAAAAAUUAAAAGAAUAUUUCUGUAAAGAAAUAAUGACUAGUAAUAUUUAACUACAGAAACGAAUUUAAUACAAUUAAGAAUAUGUUUAUUCACUUACCAGUUGUGAGAAAUUGUUUAAUAUAACCAGGUAUGUCCAAGGAUUUGAGAAACAAAACUUUCCUUCAUUGUAUAUUCCAAGAAUUUCAUAUGCCCUGAAAAGUGGCAAAAAUCAGACAACUUUAUGAGUAACCAAGCAGAACCAUAUCUUACUGUAUAUCCUUUAGAAAUUGAGUUUUUAUUUUAUGUGUAUGAGUAUUCUGCCUGCAUAUAUACCUGUGCAUGGUGUGCAUGCAUUGCCCUGUAGCAUGAAAGAGCAUUGAACUCUGGAGUUAGCAAAUAGCUGUGAGCAGUCAUGGAAACCAAAGAGCUCGUAACCAUGCACACCCUCCAGCACUGAACACAUAUGUAAGGGACCGCUGCACCACUGCUUAAAAUUAAAAAUUAAAAUAAAAAAGAAGAAGUAGUUUGUUGCAGUGUAGGGGACUACCAGUACAGGGGAGCAGGAAGGGGUUAAUUGGGGAGGAAAGAUUAAUAUGGGACUUUCAGGGAGGGGGGAUCCAAGAAAGGAAAAAUCAUUUGAAAUGUAAAUAAAGAGUAUAUCUAAUUUAAAAAAAUAAUAAAAAGAAGUAGUUUGUUAUCUGAGUUAGACUUCCUUUGAAGAAACUCCAUUAUAAUUUAAAAGUAGGUUUCAGUGGGAGAUUUCUUUGGAUUAGGAAUAGAGUCAUGAGCCUACUUCUUUCAGCUUCAGGAUGUCUUCUACUGCAAACCUAUGCAGGUCUUGUGCAUGCUGCCUCAGUCACUUUAAAUUCUUAUGUUUACUCAUCUUUUUGCUACAGAGGUACUUUUUUUCUUGGUGUUUCCCAUUGUUUCUUGCUCUAAUACUAGUAUCUUGGUGUGACUCUAACCAAAUAAGUGAAAAGAUCUGUAUGACAAGAACUUCAAGUCUGAAGAAAGACAUCGAAUAAGACCUCAGAAGAUGGAAAGAACUCUCAUGCUCAUGGAUUGGCAGAAUUAAUAUAGUAAAAAUGGCCAUCUUACCAAAAGCAAUCUACAGAUUCAAUGAAAUCCCCAUCAAAAUUCCAACUCAAUUCUUCAUAGAGUUAGAAAGAGCAAUUCUCAAAUUCAAUUGGAAUACCAAAAUCCCAGGAUAGCAAAAACUAUUCUCAACAAUAAAAGAACUUCUUGGGGAAUCAGCAUUCCUGACCUCAAGUAGUACUACAUAGCAAUAGUGACAAAAAAUGCAUGGUAUUUGUUCAGUGAUAGGCAGAUAGAUCAAUGGAAUGGAAUUGAAGAUCCAGAAAUGAACCUACAUACUUAUGGUCACUUGAACUUUGACAAAGUAGCUAAAACAACUUGCUUAUUAAUGUUUAUCAAUUUCCUUGAGUUUUAUACUUCUCAACUGAGAACUGAAAAUGAGAACAGUAACAAAGUUCUACAUAGGUUUCAAACACCUCUUAUCAGUAUCACCACAGAAAAUGAAAAUAAAUAUGUGCCACAAUUUCAAGUAUUAAUGUAACAAUGGUUCUCUUAGUUGUGUGUACAACCUCAUUAAUUUCUUUUAAUUUGUUCCUGUGAUAACAAUUUUUGAUCUAUGUUCAUUGGUCCACUCUUGUUUCAUCAAACUGUAACUUGUACAUGAUGAGUAUGUGAUUUUCAAUAAAC